rnacentral:tRNA from 1 species
GGGGGUAUAGCUCAGUGGUAGAGCACCCGCAUACGUAUCGGAAGGUCGGGGGUUCGACUUCCUCUGCCUCCA